rnacentral:rRNA from 1 species
AUUGAACGCUGGCGGCAGGCCUAACACAUGCAAGUCGAGCGGAUGACGGGAGCUUGCUCCUUGAUUCAGCGGCGGACGGGUGAGUAAUGCCUAGGAAUCUGCCUGGUAGUGGGGGACAACGAUUCGAAAGGAACGCUAAUACCGCAUACGUCCUACGGGAGAAAGCAGGGGACCUUCGGGCCUUGCGCUAUCAGAUGAGCCUAGGUCGGAUUAGCUAGUAGGUGAGGUAAUGGCUCACCUAGGCGACGAUCCGUAACUGGUCUGAGAGGAUGAUCAGUCACACUGGAACUGAGACACGGUCCAGACUCCUACGGGAGGCAGCAGUGGGGAAUAUUGGACAAUGGGCGAAAGCCUGAUCCAGCCAUGCCGCGUGUGUGAAGAAGGUCUUCGGAUUGUAAAGCACUUUAAGUUGGGAGGAAGGGCAGUAAGUUAAUACCUUGCUGUUUUGACGUUACCGACAGAAUAAGCACCGGCUAACUACGUGCCAGCCGCCGCCGUAA